AUUGAACGCUGGCGGCAUGCUUUACACAUGCAAGUCGAACGGCAGCGCGGGCUUCGGCCUGGCGGCGAGUGGCGAACGGGUGAGUAAUACAUCGGAACGUGCCCAGUAGUGGGGGAUAGCUCGGCGAAAGCCGGAUUAAUACCGCAUACGACCUGAGGGUGAAAGCGGGGGAUCUUCGGACCUCGCGCUAUUGGAGCGGCCGAUGGCAGAUUAGCUAGUUGGUGGGGUAAAGGCCUACCAAGGCGACGACCUGUAGCUGGUCUGAGAGGACGACCAGCCACACGGGGACUGAGACACGGCCCAGACUCCUACGGGAGGCAGCAGUGGGGAAUUUUGGACAAUGGGCGAAAGCCUGAUCCAGCAAUGCCGCGUGUGUGAUGAAGGCCUUCGGGUUGUAAAGCACUUUUGGCGGGAACGAAAAGGACUGUGCCAAUACCACGGUUCGAUGACGGUACCCGCAGAAUAAGCACCGGCUAACUACGUG
rnacentral:rRNA from 1 species